AGUGAACGCUGGCGGUAGGCCUAACACAUGCAGGUCGAACGGCAGCACAGUAAGAGCUUGCUCUUACGGGUGGCGAGUGGCGGACGGGUGAGGAAUACAUCGGAAUCUACUUUUUCGUGGGGGAUAACGUAGGGAAACUUACGCUAAUACCGCAUACGACCUACGGGUGAAAGCAGGGGAUCUUCGGACCUUGCGCGAUUGAAUGAGCCGAUGUCGGAUUAGCUAGUUGGCGGGGUAAAGGCCCACCAAGGCGACGAUCCGUAGCUGGUCUGAGAGGAUGAUCAACCACACUGGAACUGAGACACGGUCCAGACUCCUACGGGAGGCAGCAGUGGGGAAUAUUGGACAAAGGGCGCAAGCCUGAUCCGGCCAUACCGCGUGGGUGAAGAAGGCCUUCGGGUUGUAAAGCCCUUUUGUUGGGAAAGAAAAGCAGCAGGUUAAUACCCCGCUGUUCUGACGGUACCCAAAGAAUAAGCACCGGCUAACUUCGUG
rnacentral:rRNA from 1 species